AAAUCAAAAAAUAAACACAACCCAGAAUUCCACAACACAAAAAACCUCAACACACAGAAACCCAGAAGCUGAAAAUCAUAAAGUGGAUUCAUAUAGUUUGACAGAGAGAGAGAAUGAAAACCUGGGUGAAGUAAAUGAGGCAAACGAGCCAGAGAAACGAGGCUCCAAAUGCAGCUCUUAGGCUCCAAAUGCAGCUCCAAAUGAGGCAACCUCCACCCCUACCGAAGAGACGCCUCUUCUCUUCCUCGACUCUCUGUCUUCUCCGUCAACUCUCUCUCUCUCUCAGUGCUCUUAAGACGUCGUUCCUCCGUCUUCGCUCUCCCCGGUGGUCACAUCGAGUUCGGUAACAGGUUUUGUUCGUGAUUUUGAUUUCAUUUCUCUCUGUCCCGAAAACCUGAAAUUUUGGGUGGAUUGGAUUCGAUAAAAUUUUGGGUUUUGUUUUGUGAUGAGAAUAGAUGAACAAGUUUUUAUAUUUAUUGGAGAAUUGGAAAUAGAUGAACAAGUUUUGUUUUCAGAAUUGAGAAUUGGGUUAAAUUUUGUUUUUUAAAUUUAGAAGAUCUAUGCACUUGCACUUGAGUUUCUUUAUCAUAGAAUCUCAUUCUCAAUUUAUACAAGCAUGCACAAAUUUUUAUGCCUUUCAAAUUCUGUCUCAAGAGGAGAAAUGAUGAGAGAUCAAAAUGUCAAAGAAACUUGGAGAUCAUGCAAUUACAUACUGUAACUGUGGCCAAAGAACCAGUUGAAAAGCAAUCACAUCAGUGAAAUCCUCCUCUGCUGCUGGUUUAACUGCAACUGUGGCCAAAGAACCAGAAACUGGGGAAUUUUGUAUUGAGGCUGGUGCAUUAAUGCUCGCCGACAAUGGCAUUUGUUGCAUUGAUGAAUAUACAGGGCUGUGUGUGCACCAAAGACAUCAACAAAGCAAUGUUGAUUAGUGAUGCAAUGGAGACCCACCAAAGUGGCUAGGUGACCUUGGAGCUCUUCGAACUGGAAUACCCAUAGGAAAAUGUGAUAUAUAUGUUGCUGCAGCUGAAAUUGAUUCACACUCUGUGCUGCAAGGUGACCUUGGAGUUCUUGGAACUGGAAUACCAAUAGGAAAACUUGAUAUGUAUGUUGUUGCAGCUGGUAUUAAUUCAGAGUCAUUGGGAGAUCAAGCAGAAUACCAAGCAACGCACCAAGUUAUAUCAUCUUUCAUGAUGUAAAACUUAGCUAGGAAACUUGAAAAUUGAAAUGUAUGAAUGCGAUAACAAUGUUACUUAAAUUCAGUAUUUGAUAAAUUGAUGUAUCACAAGGCUUUUGGUACAAAUAUUGAUCAUGGUUUGCAUUCAAUUUGAUUUCCAAUUGAUUA